UUUAAGUGCAACCAUAAGUUUUCGCGCUUAACUUUGAUCGUCCGUUUUAUUUGAAAAAUUUUUAUAAUUAAUAUUUUUGUAGUUAUGAGAUGAUAAAACAUGAAUAGCACUUUACUCGUGACUUAUGUUUUCAAUUUUUUUUAAGAAAAUUUAAAUAAUACGGACGAUCAAAGUUGGACGUAAAAAAUCAUGGCUACACUGAAA
rfam:Oryza rufipogon genomic scaffold, chr07